CAGCAGUGAGGAAUAUUGGUCAAUGGGCGGAAGCCUGAACCAGCCAAGUAGCGUGCAGGAUGACGGCCCUACGGGUUGUAAACUGCUUUUAUACGGGAAUAACGCGCCUUACGUGUAGGGCUUUGCAUGUACCGUAUGAAUAAGGACCGGCUAAUUCCGUGCCAGCAGCCGCGGUAAUACGGAAGGUCCGGGCGUUAUCCGGAUUUAUUGGGUUUAAAGGGAGCGUAGGCCGCAUGUCAAGCGUGCUGUGAAAUGUCCGGGCUCAACCCGGGCCUUGCAGCGCGAACUGGCGUGCUUGAGUCCGCGGAAAGCAGGCGGAAUUCGUCGUGUAGCGGUGAAAUGCUUAGAUAUGACGAAGAACCCCGAUUGCGAAGGCAGCUUGCUGCAGCGGAACUGACGCUGAUGCUCGAAAGCGCGGGUAUCGAACAGGAUUAGA
rnacentral:rRNA from 1 species